rnacentral:misc_RNA from 1 species
UUAAGUUCAGCGGGUAUCCCUACCUGAUCCGAGGUCAACCUUAGAAUGGGUUGGUUUUAUCGGCGUAGCCUCCCGAACACCCUUUAGCGAAUAGUUUCCACAACGCUUAGGGGACAGAAGACCCAGCCGGUCGAUUUGAGGCACGCGGCGGACCGCGUUGCCCAAUACCAAGCGAGGCUUGAGUGGUGAAAUGACGCUCG